GAUGAACGCUGGCGGCGUGCUUAACACAUGCAAGUCGAGCGAAGCGCUUAGGAAAGAUUCUUCGGAUGAUUUCCUAUUUGACUGAGCGGCGGACGGGUGAGUAACGCGUGGGUAACCUGCCUCAUACAGGGGGAUAACAGUCAGAAAUGACUGCUAAUACCGCAUAAGACCACAGCACCGCAUGGUGCAGGGGUAAAAACUCCGGUGGUAUGAGAUGGACCCGCGUCUGAUUAGUUAGUUGGUGGGGUAACGGCCUACCAAGGCGACGAUCAGUAGCCGACCUGAGAGGGUGACCGGCCACAUGGGGACUGAGAAACGGCCCAAACUCCUACGGGAGGCAGCAGUGGGGAAUAUUGCACAAUGGGGGAAACCCUGAUGCAGCGACGCCGCGUGAGCGAAGAAGUAUUUCGGUAUGUAAAGCUCUAUCAGCAGGGAAGAAAAUGACGGUACCUGACUAAGAAGCCCCGGCUAACUACGUGCCAGCCGCCGCAGUAA
rnacentral:rRNA from 1 species